AGAGGCAUUAGUUCAUUAUAAACAGUGUACUGCUAUGUAAGACACAUCACCUAUGGCAAAGUCAGAUCAGCAUACUAUCAGUGUUUAACCACUGCAAAAAAAGUUGUAUUGUGAGAUAAGCAGGUUUCCACAGUUUAGGUAAACAAAUGGAGAAGCAGAAGGAUACAUCCGAGUCUUUCAAAAGCAAAUACACAAGUGGAUGACUUUAUGGCUCCCCCUAAUUAUGCCCCCCCAAGAGAUUGAUGCCAUCUGAUGACAAAGCACAAAUUAAAAUACUUUUUCUUAAUUCUCACAAUUUUUGUACAACUAUCCUAUUGGAAUAGUUCAGUGGAAAAUGGAGUAUAAGCGCAACGUGCUUUCCUUUUGUCUCCAGCGUACUGGUGUUUAGUUUUUUUGUACUCCACCUUCGUCUAAAUUACUCGGCUCAGGCCAGCAUAAUUUGCAGUCUAUAAAGGACACAUUUCGAUAGGGGGGUUACCUUGCCGUAGUGUGUCGUAUUCACCAGCUCGUAAAACGCGAUGUUCGCCUAUGCUCAUUCUCAUCUCAAA